AGUGAACGCUGGCGGUAGGCCUAACGCAUGCAAGUCGAACGGCAGCACAGUAAGAGCUUGCUCUUACGGGUGGCGAGUGGCGGACGGGUGAGGAAUACAUCGGAAUCUACUUUUUCGUGGGGGAUAACGUAGGGAAACUUACGCUAAUACCGCAUACGACCUGCGGGUGAAAGCAGGGGAUCUUCGGACCUUGCGCGAUUGAAUGAGCCGAUGUCGGAUUAGCUAGUUGGCGGGGUAAAGGCCCACCAAGGCGACGAUCCGUAGCUGGUCUGAGAGGAUGAUCAGCCACACUGGAACUGAGACACGGUCCAUACUCCUACGGGAGGCAGCAGUGGGGAAUAUUGGACAAUGGGCGCAAGCCUGAUCCAGCCAUACCGCGUGGGUGAAGAAGGCCUUCGGGUUGUAAAGCCCUUUUGUUGGGAAAGAAAAGCAGCAGGUUAAUACCCCGCUGUUCUGACGGUACCCAAAGAAUAAGCACCGGCUAACUUCGUA
rnacentral:rRNA from 1 species